GCUGUUCAUUUUUUCCCACGCACUCUCCAAAUUUUCUAGAGAAACCCUAAAUCCUCUUCCUCACCUAAACUGGAACCUCCAAAUCCCUCGCGCAGCGCCUCCACAGCUUCCUCACUUCCAAAGGCGUCGUUUUCGACCUCCUCGAUGCGCGGCACUACGAGCACGAGGAUCUCACCAAGGAAACGCUCCUCCUCCUUGUCGCUUCCACCUGAGAAGACGGGAAUCCUCCGCUCGAAUCUCGCUUCUUCGCCUCGUGGCUGGCCGAGAGCGCCUAGGAUUUUAGGGUUGGUUCGUUGCUGCUAUCGCGGUUGAGGUUUAGGGACCUCGCAAAGAGGAUUUGGGAGCUGGGCGCGGCGGAGGUGGUUCCUCUUGUUGAAGGGGAUGUUGAUGAGGGUGACGUGGAUGCGGUUUUCGACAGGUGGUGUGCGGCGAUGGUUGGGGUGUUGAAAGGUGGUAAUGACGGUGGUGCUGUGGAAAGUGAUGAGGAAGGUGGUGAUGACUCCUCCAAUUUCUUUGAUUGUUUCAUCAGUGGGGUAUAAAAUUAUUGGUUCAUAUAGCGGUGUCAAGAUUUGUAGAUGGACCAAGUCUCAGCUUCGAGGACGAGGUGGUUGCUACAAGCACUCAUUUAAUGGAAUCGAGAGUCAUAGGUAAUAUUCACACCCACUAACUGUUUGAUAAAAGGACAGAAUGAAUUUUCACUCAUAUUUUUCUCACAGUCUCUCUUAGCACAUCACUUGAUUGAUGAAAGGGUUAGAUGAAAUUUGUUAUUUGAUCAUGAAAAGUUUGGUUAAGUUGCUUUUGGAUUAUGUUAAGAGCAUUUUUUCAUUGUUAGCAUGAUUGAAUGUUGUUUCUAACGGAGUUUAGUUAACUACAAACAAUUUUUGCUGCUAAUUAACAUGAUUUUCCUGUUCAUUUAGUUGAGUUAGGAUUUAGUGAGAUUCUAUGUUCAUAUUCGUGGCUGUUAUCUGUUUGAUGCAAUGACUGAAUGAAUUUCCUUCGAUAAUUUUGUUCUAAUUUUCAUGCGUGCCAAACUGUUUGAUGAAAUGCUUCACUGAAUUCUUCUCUUUUAUCUUCAUGUCUGUUGAAUUGGGAGUUGAACAAAGCAGAAGAGAUGAUCUAGAAUCACUUGGUUAUGUGCUCAUGUACUUUUUUGAGAGGAAGUCUCCCUUGGCAAGGCUUGAAAGCUGGUACUAAGAAGCCAAAAUAUGACAAGAUAAGUGAAAAGAAGAUAAGCCAAAACAUGAUUUACUUCUCUCUGGUCUUGUAUACUGAGGUUUACGUAAUUGAUUUUGGCCUUUCAAAAAAGUAUCGGGAUCUUCAAACCCACAAGCAUAUACCAUAUAGGCAUCGUAUUUGAUCUUUUGAUGGAAGGCUCUGUAGCUUUUUGUAAUUUCAUUGCUCGCGUAUGUGUCCCUGUAUUAUCUUCCCUUUGUUACUCUUUGAAGUUUUUGAAGUUUAUUUCAUGUGUAUCCCUGGGUAUGCUGUAUGCUUUUGUAUUUAUUAGUUUUUGAAAGUUUACUGCUUUUAACUUCCUCCUAGCUCAACAAUAACAACUAAGCCUUCCCCACUAAGUGGAGUAUCACCCAAUGCGUUUGCCAUGCUUUAAGUUCAAAGGUAGGCUGAACUGUCUCCUAGCUUAUAUGGGUUAAAAUAAAAUAGUAUUUCAUAUUUCUUACAGUUUUAUUGGAUUCCUUGGAUUGUGUUGAGAUCAGUCUGAAUGAAAAUCAUUCACACUAUGUAAUAUUUGUGAACUACAAGAACAUGUGCGGGUCUUAACCUAGUUUUUUUGUUCUUUCUAUUAACCAGGUUGAUAUGUUGAUGGUGGAAUUGGAUUGUUUCAGUGUCUAAUAUUUUCAGGGAAGCUAAUUCAACUGCUGAUGGCUAUGCUAAAGAAGGAUGCAAUCGGGCAACGAUGUUGUGGACCCUAUUUUCACAAUCUGCUUGAAGACCUUACCAAAUCCCCUUGUUCGUCUGAUGGCGUCUGCUGCUUCUGUUUAGAGUUGGCAUUGCUGUGCCUCUUAUUCGUGCUGUCGUGCUUGUAUGCUAUUGGAGUUGCUUGUUUAGGAGUUUUUUCUUUGCUGUUUUUUAAUUCCUGUGUUGGCUGGUUGGGUAGUUUGGUAGUCUAAGUUUAGUUGCUUAAUUAUUUUGUAGCUCUUUCUAGUGCUGAUGUUUUGCACUCUUGCUUUUAUCUUCCUGUUGUUGUUACACUGUUAUGAACUCUGUUCGAGCCUUUGGCUCCUUAUUAUGAAUAUAUAUCAUCUUUCUCUUGCAAAAAAAUAUAACAGUAUAGAUCUGAUGA